CAAUCAGCAAAUAGCUCAAAAUUGCAUAUUAAUUCAAAAGAGCUUCCUCGUCCGUUCAACUUAGCGUGCAGGCUGCGCUUGUGCGUGUUCGAGAAGCUGGCUGACUAACUUGUAGGUCCGCCCUUGAAGGGCCUUAGUGUGGUCGAUCAGCUGCUCGUAACUGGAGAAAUCCAGUAUCCAAAUUGGAAGUCAUUACGAGAAGAGGAACAAACAAAUGUAGUUAUGGAAGGAACAUAGUAUGAAAGAUGCACAAAAUUAGGAACAUGGAAAUCUUACACAUUCAAUCGGUUAGGCUCCAUAACAACGGUUCCAGUCUCUGAAUCAAUCUUUGCAUCAAGUUUCGAGUUUCGGAUAAGAUUCACAAUCCAUCUCUCACCCUCCUCGUAAUUUAAAUUCAGUUUCUCAAAAAGCACCCUUGAAACACAUUAAACAUCCAUUUAAUGUUGGAUCAAAAGCUAAGACAAGCAACUAAAAAAACUAAUAAGUAAAAGCAUAUCUUGAAAGUGUUAAGAAGACCGACGGGAAGUAAUCACUAUAAUAAGAGAUACUCGAGCCUAUGUUCCUCGGAUUUGGGUGAGUUUCAGAUACCAGUAUGUUUAAUUGUUUUCUAAGUUUUUCCAUGCAUUGAAGGAUCAUAUCUUCAUAACCGCAAGACAAAUACUUCAAGAAAAAUGAACAGUCGUGAAAUGCAUAGAUAAUAGCAACCCAAAGGUUUAUGUUGUGAUGUUUUGUGAUCCGUGCAUGUCCCCGCUGUGCAGAUGAAAACAUGCUUUACAUCUGUUUUGAUUUAAUAUUUUGUACAAAAUUUCCUAAAAAAUUCAUAACUCAGUGCAAUGUUAUGAGAAACCCAGCAUGCAAAGCAAACUUUGAGCCUAUUGGCAAUUUAACAUUCAUAUGGAUGUCCUUCCGUGUCAUUUACUCAUAAGACGAAGUCAAUCAUCCACAUAAGAAGCUAAUUAUAUAAGUUUGACAAAGCAGGAACUUACCCCAUAUCAAUGCGCUGAUGAAUUCUGCAGUAUGUCUCGAAGAUAAAUAGACGAGCAUUCUCAAGAAACUCAUCUUUUAAUGGGACAGUAGAAAAGUUGCCCUCUUCAACUCUUUUUCCAAGGAAGGGAUCAUUCAGUAUCACCUACAACAAAGACGGAAAAUUAAGGGUGUAAAGAUAGAGCCUACAAUUCUGAUAUGAACCAUAAAGCUAAAGGCAACCAAGAAAGACGAUGAAACUUCAAGCUAAAACAUUGCACAAUUUUAUGGUAUAAGAUACUAUAAUCUUACUUCUUCACACUCCUUCAUCUUCUUCUGUGCUCCAUCAAAUUCAUAGUUGACAUAAACACAUGCCAAAAACUCCGUGAUGGGAUCUUUGUAAGAGCACUGAUCUUGCUGGAUAACCUUGAUAAAUUCUUUGAAUUGAGGUCUUCUCCUUUUGUUGACAAUAAAAGCAGUGGCUAAGUACCUUAGAAGAUGGGGAGCACUGGUUUGAAUGGCAUUUAGAUACCUGGAAAGAAGUGAAAUAACCUUGUAAGAAGAGACAACUACACAAAGUUGGAUAACAAAGAAAGGAAAUAAUGCAUUAACCAAUGAAAAAAACAGUAAAAAUAUCCAACUUCAAACACAAAUUUAUGUUUAGUUCCAACAACAAUCUCCCUUAUGAAACAAAAUUCCAACAUAAGCAAUAUGGCGAACAUAUCACAUACUUUAGCCUCGAAACUUUGAACAAAUACUUUGCUAAUUACAUGGCACGCUGUGUGUUAACUUUUCAUAUUAAAAAAAACAAUGCAAGUGACAGAAGAAAUCUACAAAGCUUCUAAACAUGUUCCAUUACAACGCAAUCAAAAUUGAAGCAUGUGAACAUCAGAAGUCAUGGCAUAAAAAUGCAGGAAAAUGCACAAAGAACAAAGAAGCACAAAUAUCAAGUGACAACUACACAAAUGAUGCAACUAACAACAUCAGUAACAAGACAUGGAAACCUUAAGGUUAGUUGUUAAAGUGACAUACUUGUCUUGAUUAAAUAGGUCGAUGAUUUGUGUUCUUCCAUUGUCAUGGUUGAAAAAGAUGAAGAGGCUCCAAUGCAUGAGCCAUAUUCUACUCUGAACUUGGUUCAAAGGUGAUGAGAAGCUCUGCAGCAAAAGACCAAUAAAUAAGUCAACGAAUAAUCGAAAAGCAAAUUGUCAAAAUAAAAACCGAAUAAUCAACAGGGAUAUAACCAAAACCUUGGAAUCGAUUAUUUCUUUCAAACGAUUAAGUUCUUCAAGAGCAAUAUCCCAGUUUUGCAUCAGUAUCUCGGCAGCAAGCUUCCCCCACAAUGCACUCAAACUCCUUUCGCUGUUACUACAUAAAGCCCGAUACUGAUACAGAUAGUCAGCAGCACCAGAGUAGUUGCCACACUCAAAUUGGAAUUUUGCAUACUGAUACAAUGCCUCUAUUUGAUCUGGACCAAUCUGUUAAAAAAUUAAUUUUAUCCACCAUUAAAUUUAAAAAAAAAACUUUAAUUAAUUCAAACCCAGUAAAAAUCAAAACUUUAACAACAAAGAGCAUGCUAGAAUUUUAGCAUAAGAAAGCAUAUGCAUCUACUUGGUUAUUCUUUAUAUUUUCCUUAAAAAUAUCAUAAUGUUAUGACUAAUACAAAUUCACACUUGAAUGGGUUAUUCACUAAAAAUCCUAAAGGGGUUAAAAAUAGCAUAAAAUAACCUUAAAUUCAUAAAUAAAGGCAGAAAAAACAGACCUGGUAGCGGUCAUUAAGCAUCUGGAGAUUAUACUGUUUAUCAGCACGCAAUUCCUGAACAGCGUUAGGGUUUUGCAAGAAAGAGACGAGAGGAGCGGCGGCAUCUUCCAAAGCUUUGAGACGAGCGACAACCUCGACUCUCCUCUCGACCAUGUCCUGAGGGACAUCAGCGGUGUGUAAAGGCUCUUAUGGAUAUCCAUAGCGUAAUCGACCAUGUUUGUCUUGUUCAAAAGCUCGAUCUUUGCUUUCAAGAUCUGUUCAUCUGGGUAUAGUUGUCGCUCUUGCAAGAACUCCAGCAAUGGAAACACUAAGUGCCUGUCUAGGUUCGGGCCGAUACGCGGGGUUAUAUCGUAAGUAGCCAUUGCCAGGGUUUACUCUGGUUUCUGGCUUCGUGCUUAUUGUUUGAUAUAAACAAAUUUUUAGUAUAUAUAUUCCUUCUCCACUCCCUCAAUUCAAAUGGAGUUAAGAGUUAAAAUAUAGUUUUAAAUUUAUUUUUUAUUUUCGAAUUAAAUAUAAUAAGUUGUUUUUACAAAAAAAAAAUACUAACCAUUUCUAAAAAAAUAUUUAUUAAUAUUAUUUAUAAUAAUUACUAGAUGAUACUAAUAUAUUUUAUACUAAUUUAAAUCUACUCCAAUAUAAAAUAUAUGUUUAAAAUUUCGUUUAAGUCACAUAUUGUUUGUAUUCCUCCCCCAUCCUUCUUCAGGAAUAGACAAUAUUAUUUGGACAUGCAUGGCUUCAAGUUUCUUUUUGAUCCAUAGCGUAUUUUAGCCUCUCAGAAAAUUUUUGGAAUUUUAAGGAUAUCCUCUAUAAGAAUAGCUGAAAAUACCAAUGGUCACAAAGAGUUAAUUUUUUUUCUUUGACUAGCCUUCAAGCAAAGACUUUUGUCUAAUCUAGAGCGAACUAGACGAGGAAUUGAUCAUAAUAGCUCAUAUCCUAUUUGUGGCCACGAAACAGAAGACAUGCUCCACGUGCUUCAAGAUCGUUCGGCAUCAAAGGAGGUUUGGUUACAGGUUAUAUCUUCUGGUAGAUAGUAGCGUUCUUCUCUGGGUUUCUUCAAGAAUGAUUGACUUCAAAUCUUGCCUGUCACGUCCAGUUGCCUAGUUGAGGGUUAAUUUAAUAUUGUUUAUUCAAUUUAAUUGUGUGGCGCAUUUGAAAGAAUAAGAAUCUGUUCAUCUUUCAAGACAUCACUUGGAUGACUCUCGGUACUAUCAAGGUCUCAUUUAGUUGGGCAUAACAACUUGAGUUAAGUCACAAAGGCCAUCAACAUUCUAAGGAAUCUAACGGUUCUUGAUCAGCCAUGGGGAAUACGUGAACACACUUAUUCACUGAUGGAACAGUAGCUAUUGGUAAUGGUAAUGCUUUCGUUGGAAGUGUUUUGCGAGACCAACAUGAGAACUGGACAUUGGGGUUUAAUCACUACAUUGGAAGAUACUUACUUUUCGAGGCUAAAUUAUGAGAAAUUUUAGAUGGUCUACUAGUAUCGUAGCAAAGGAUUUAAAAGGGCCACGAUGCAGUCUAAUAACCUUGAGAUGAUUAGGUCCUUACAAGAAAGUUAGUUAACAAAUUCUAGUAUUACAAUGCUUAAAAUGAUCAGAAGAAUUUUGCAAGCUAAAGGACAAUAGAGCAGUAGACACGCGCCUAGAGAACUUAAUCAUGCUGCUGAUUAUUUGGCUAAGAUGAAUUUACCGGGAAGACAAGCCUUCAAGUCUUUGAUGACACCCGGAACGAAGUUUUAAAGAUUAUAUAACAAGAGAAAGAUAAUGAUGUUUUUGUUAAUGUCAUGUUGAUGUAGUUCAGUUUUUAAUUUAAACACUAAAAAAAAUUUCAUUUAAAUUUAUUCAUAUUUAAGCCCGCCUGUAUUAUUAUUUUCAAAAUUUUAUAUUAUUUUUAAUAGGGGAGAGAUCCCUUACAUAUUAUUAUUUUUAAUAACACAUUUAAAUCCAAAGUUCUCAACACAACGCUGUACUUUUAAUAACUCGGUACAAGCAUUUAAAAAAUUUCUUGACAAAAGUUGAAAGAGCACCAUACAAUUUAGAUUUAGAUAAUGAUUUAUCAGUCUUGUUCCUACUCAAAAACUUAAAUCACUGUUAAAUUUGUCUGAAAGAAAUAAACAAUCAGCAAAUAGCUCAAAAUUGCAUAUAAAUUCAAAAGAUCUUCCUUGUCCGUCCAACUUAACGUGCAGGCUGUGCUUGUGCGUGCUCGAGAAGCUGGCCGACUAGCUUGUAGGUCCGCCCUUGAAGGGCCUUAGUGUGGUCGAUCAGCUGCUCGUAACUGGAGAAAUCCAGUAUCCAAAUUGGAAGUCAUUAAGAGAAGAGGAACAAACAAAUGAAGUUAUGGAAGGAACAUAGUAUGAAAGAUGCACAAUAUUU
rnacentral:lncRNA from 1 species